GCGGACGUGGUGUAUGGCGCACCAUUGCGUUGCUUGAGAGGGGACUUCAUUUAAGCAGUGAGACGGGGUUCGAUUCCCCGCGUCCGCA